GUGGGAUUGUGGCUCAGCGUUAGAACGCUCACCUAGCAUGUGCGAGGCACUGGGUUCGAUUCUCAGCAGCACA
rnacentral:tRNA from 1 species